GAUGAACGCUGGCGGCGUGCCUAAUACAUGCAAGUCGAGCGAACAGACGAGGAGCUUGCUCCUCUGACGUUAGCGGCGGACGGGUGAGUAACACGUGGAUAACCUACCUAUAAGACUGGGAUAACUUCGGGAAACCGGAGCUAAUACCGGAUAAUAUAUUGAACCGCAUGGUUCAAUAGUGAAAGACGGUUUUGCUGUUACUUAUAGAUGGAUCCCCGCCGCAUUAGCUAGUUGGUAAGGUAACGGCUUACCAAGGCAACGAUGCGUAGCCGACCUGAGAGGGGGAUCGGCCACACUGGAAGUGAGACACGGUCCAGACUCCUACGGGAGGCAGCAGUAGGGAAUCUUCCGCAAUGGGCGAAAGCCUGACGGAGCAACGCCGCGUGAGUGAUGAAGGUCUUCGGAUCGUAAAACUCUGUUAUUAGGGAAGAACAAAUGUGUAAGUAACUAUGCACGUCUUGACGGUACCUAAUCAGAAAGCCACGGCUAACUACGUG
rnacentral:rRNA from 1 species